rnacentral:rRNA from 1 species
GCCAAACAGCUAGCUCAAACAAUAGAGUUAAACAACAACAUAUAUACCUCCACAAAACCUUAACAAACUAAACUAAACCAUUCGACCACCCCAGUACCGGGCGACGGAAAAGGAUAAAAUGAAGCAUAGAAAAA